GUGGGUGAACGAGGUGUUUUAACUCAGUGAGAUUUAACAAUUGUUCAUUCUCUUAUCUUGAGGUGUAGGUUCGAAUCCUACCAUCCACG
rnacentral:tRNA from 1 species